CCUACGGGAGGCUGCAGUGGGGAAUAUUGGACAAUGGGGGCAACCCUGAUCCAGCCAUGCCGCGUGUGUGAAGAAGGCCCUCGGGUUGUAAAGCACUUUCAGUGAGGAAGAACGCCUGGUGGUUAAUACCCAUCAGGAAAGACAUCACUCACAGAAGAAGCACCGGCUAACUCCGUGCCAGCAGCCGCGGUAAUACGGAGGGUGCGAGCGUUAAUCGGAAUUACUGGGCGUAAAGCGCGCGUAGGUGGCUUGAUAAGCCGGUUGUGAAAGCCCCGGGCUCAACCUGGGAACGGCAUCCGGAACUGUCAAGCUAGAGUGCAGGAGAGGAAGGUAGAAUUCCCGGUGUAGCGGUGAAAUGCGUAGAGAUCGGGAGGAAUACCAGUGGCGAAGGCGGCCUUCUGGACUGACACCGACACUGAGGUGCGAAAGCGUGGGUAGCAAACAGGAUUAGAUACCCGUGUAGUC
rnacentral:rRNA from 1 species